rnacentral:rRNA from 1 species
AACGAACGCUGGCGGCAUGCCUAACACAUGCAAGUCGAACGAGAUCUUCGGGUCUAGUGGCGCACGGUGCGUAACGCGUGGGAAUCUGCCCUUUGGUUCGGAAUAACAGUUGGAAACGACUGCUAAUACCGGAUGAUGACGAAAGUCCAAAGAUUUAUCGCCAGAGGAUGAGCCCGCGUAGGAUUAGCUAGUUGGUGUGGUAAAGGCGCACCAAGGCGACGAUCCUUAGCUGGUCUGAGAGGAUGAUCAGCCACACUGGGACUGAGACACGGCCCAGACUCCUACGGGAGGCAGCAGUGGGGAAUAUUGGACAAUGGGCGAAAGCCUGAUCCAGCAAUGCCGCGUGAGUGAUGAAGGCCUUGGGGUUGUAAAGCUCUUUUACCCGGGAUGAUAAUGACAGUACCGGGAGAAUAAGCUCCGGCUAACUCCGUGCCAGCAGCCGCCGUAA